UACGUAGGGUGCAAGCGUUAAUCGGAAUUACUGGGCGCAAAGCGUGCGCAGGCGGUUAUGUAAGACAGGUGUGAAAUCCCCGGGCUUAACCUGGGAACUGCAUUUGUGACUGCAUAGCUAGAGUACGGCAGAGGGGGAUGGAAUUCCGCGUGUAGCAGUGAAAUGCGUAGAUAUGCGGAGGAACACCGAUGGCGAAGGCAAUCCCCUGGGCCUGUACUGACGCUCAUGCACGAAAGCGUGGGGAGCAAACAGG
rnacentral:rRNA from 1 species